ACUUACGCGCACCUCGUCUAUUUCACCAGGCACAUGCUAUCAGCGCAAGGACUACUCACAUGUAUAUUUCAGCAUUCUCUCUGUAGUCGCAAUCUUCUUCUACUUGAGUCUAUAAUACUUCUUUUAGGAAUUCUGUUUUUUUCUUUAAUUUAUUUUUUGCUUCUGUUUCUUCUUCAAUCAAUGACCCUCUUCUCUUCUUCUAUUAUGUGAGUUCUCUUACUCUUACUUCUUCUCUUUUACUUCUCUUCCACUCACUCUGCGGAGUUGCUUAAAAGACUAAAUAUGAAGCUAAAUACUGCAGAAUCAUUUUUAGGGUUGAUUUAAGUGAAAUUGAAUAAUGAUUUGAUGUCCCCAAAAAAAUGAUUUGUGAUUGUAAUUAUGUUUUUGGGGUCUUAUUGAAAUUACAUAUUAAGAUGUUUAAUUUGAAUUUUGUUAGAUUAGUACGAAAUUUGUAACUUUAAUUGCAAGUUAAAUAAGUUCAUAUAUGUUAGAUCCUUUUUUUGUUCGGUAAUUGUAUACUUUAUUUUUGAAGAUACUAGGCUAAGGGACGGACUUCAUCUCUUCUAUUUUCUUCGCUUACACCUUACACUUCAGCUGAGUCUAACGAGGCUCGUACGUUUCGGUUCUUGUUUUUUUAAAGCCGAAGGUCCCUGUUAAACGCUUCUCGGUCUUUUCAAGUGUAUGUUGGCCAGAUUUUGUUUCGUACAGACAAUUUUAAGUACUAAUUUAUUCUGGCAAGCAAAACUUUUCUGCUACUCUAUAAAUUUGAGAACUGAGUAAGCUUUUCUACAACAGCAACUGCAGUUAUUCUAUUCUGUACCAACGUUCAAAUGGCUCUCAUCUCAGCUAUUGCUGUCAGUUAUGCAGUGAUGAUUCUGCAUGCCUCAUUUAGGAAGCUUACCCCGUCGAGACAAUCAACUUCCAAAGAUGGAAACAGGAGGAUUCUUAGAAGUUGAUAAGUGGUUAUUAUUGUCAAAUCAUAAAAUCACAGUCGUAGCUCGGAGGGAGUUCAGGGCAAACAUGUGGAUAAACUGUCUUGGUUCAUGAGUACACCUCUCCGUUUGAAACUGAGAGAAUACUAGUUACAUUGUAAGAAAAUGUUUCUUUGUAUUCAAAUUUAGGUUGUAUAAGGUUAUACAAGAUGGGAAAAAAAAAAAGAAACUAGAUAAGAUUGUAAAUGGCUGUAGAACCAUAAAGAUAAUUAGCAUGAACCGCAUCCAGUAUAAAUUCUGGAUUCUGAUUUUUCAUUUCA